GAUAGUGCAGAUUUAGAAUUGUAUUUUAGUUGAGCUGGGCAAAUUUAUUGUGGCCGGUUACAAGGCAUGUUUGGCAGCAAUUAGCUUUUGUAAUAUUGCUGCCAUUCAUACCUUACAAUUGGUCUCAGUGUUUCCAACACCGAUAAACCUUAAUCACUUUUUUAGAAUUGUA